rnacentral:lncRNA from 1 species
GAGCAACCAACAGGCUCCAACAGCAGAUUUAAAUUCUCAACCGAAAUCACCAAAAUCCGUGGGUUUCUUCCAGGGCUCAGCACGGAACCACCAAAGCACCCAACAUUAAUGACCUCAUUUUAGAGCCCACCCGCAUUUCCUGCGGCAGUGACCACCCCUCUGCUGAUGCCAAUUAAUCAAAACAGCUGAUAAAUCCUUUCCUUAUGAAGGAAUGGCAUUACUGGUACUCAGUUUGCAAAGAAAUGGUUAAAAAGUGUAUUUUAACAUUGUGUGUUUGGCAUAACAAACAAACCCCCCCAGCUACCAAGAUAAACUGAAUUAUCUUAUCUAAGAAUGUUAAAGUUUUUUUGAAAGAUUCACCUUCUCUCCAACAGCGUGAAACCCAGCUCAGACUGUUUGUUCAUAAAUUGUACAAAUUAUAAACCAAAUCUCCAAUUCUCCCUCUCCAGCCCAAGCCCAGCUGUUGGCCAACUAUUAAUUUAUUUUUUUUUUGGUGGAAAAAAGGAGCACCUGUAAGAAAUCUGCAAACCCAGUUCAGCGGGAGACACCCAGGGGCACAGGGGGAGCAGCACCUCCCAAUUCACAGCGUUUUACAAGGUUUUAAGCCUUUUCUGAACCUUCAGUGACACCCGGUGCCCCCGCACGUCCCAGCAGCAGGUCCCGGGGGGUGACCGAGGGUGGUGGCUCUCGUCCCCCCCCUGCCAUACUGUCCCCUCUGGUCACCACGUCACUGCACGGAAAACACAGCAGCUCUGCCAGACUCGGAAUGCCCCGAGAGAUAAAAGAAAAAAAUCAUUCAAACAUCACCAAACCCAAUAAAUAACAUGAAGCAAACACGUCGGGCCUUGCAGACGCGGCAGCAAGAGCUACGUUUGGAAUUUCUGAGAAGGCUCAGCACCCCCAGUAAGAGCUUAGAAAGAGACAUUUAUCACACAAAAUGUUAAGAAAAAUAAAAUCCUUUUUGUAAUUUUUUUUUUUUUUGUAAAAAAUACCAAAAUAUAGCACUGCUUUCAAGCACGAGUAGUGUUUCAGACAUUCACUGUAGAACGGACCACAAGGUGAAGUGCUUCAGAGCCCCCCCUGUGCCAGGAACGGACCCACGAGACCUGUGCAGCUCAUCACACCCAGGGGUGCAGAGGUUCUGGGAUGAGCUGCCGGGUCAGUUCCGUGGCACAGCGGCUGCUCCAAGAGAUUGUAGUGUAUUCUGUCAUUUUACAAUUGCACACACAAAAAAAAUCCCCCCCUUACACAAAUCUGAGGCGGAGAAGGAGCCCCGGCAGAGGCCAGCCGUGCCCCAAGAUCCCACCUGGGCUCUUCCAGCCCAACCUUCCCUUGGACUGAGAAGUCACCACCUUCCUGUAGGUUCAGGUACCCAGUUUUCCAGAGACAAAGUUCUCAAUUCUUAAUUCAAAGGCUCAAUUUAGCCAGAUGCCAGCAACACUUGAGAUUAAUUCUUUUCAUUCCUGAUUGUUUUAAAAACACCCAUUACCAAAAAGCCAGCACAAAGUCAGCGAGUGCCAGUGCCCAAGUGAAAAGGCCCCUCUCGCUGUCCCGGGGCAGGGGGGGACACAGAGUGCUCUGUGAGACCCGGGGCCAGGGCAGGAGGGUCCCCACGGAAUAACUUCAGCCUGGGGACACCGAGACCCCCGCGGCUCCUUGCCCGAGGAAUGGAGGAGGACAGGUUUUGGAAAGAAAGUCUGGAGCAGGAGCCUGCCUCGGCUGCUCCUAAAGCCUCACCGAAGGAGGAAAUCGAGAGAGAACCAUCUCCUGAGGCUGAAGGUGGCCCCGUCACCCAGACACAGAAAUACCCUGUUUGUUGAAAUGCUGAGAUUUUUCUCAGCUCCAUUAACAUGGAGACCGAAGUGAGAACAUCCUUCUCAGCACAAAAAAAAAAUAAAAUCUAAACAUUCAAUCA